UACGUAGGGGGCUAGCGUUGUCCGGAAUCAUUGGGCGUAAAGCGCGUGUAGGCGGCCCGGUAAGUCCGCUGUGAAAGUCGGGGGCUCAACCCUCGAAAGCCGGUGGAUACUGUCGGGCUCGAGUGCGGAAGAGGCGAGUGGAAUUCCUGGUGUAGCGGUGAAAUGCGCAGAUAUCAGGAGGAACACCAAUUGCGAAGGCAGCUCGCUGGGACGUUACUGACGCUGGAGACGCGAAAGCGUGGGGAGCAAACAGG
rnacentral:rRNA from 1 species